rnacentral:RNase_P_RNA from 2 species
GGAGUUGGCUGGGCGGCGGCCUCCCGUAAGGGGGGAGGAAAGUCCGGACUUCACAGAGCAAGGCGCCCGGUAAGAGCUCGCUCAAGCCGGGGCGGGGCGACCCGACGGAAAGUGCAACAGAAACAAACCGCCGGCCUUCGGGCCGGUAAGGGUGAAAUGGUGAGGUAAGAGCUCACCGGCGGUAGGGGUAACCCACCGGCCGUGCAAACCCCGCCUGAAGCAAGGCCAAAUAGGGAGGGGAUGACGCGGCUCGCCGACCCUCCGGGUUGGCCGCGUAGACAAAUCGUCGUCCACGACAGAAUCCGGCUUAUAGGCCGACUCCACGA